rnacentral:rRNA from 1 species
UGGGGAAUAUUGCGCAAUGGGCGAAAGCCUGACGCAGCGACGCCGCGUGAGGGAUGAAGGUUUUCGGAUCGUAAACCUCUGUCAGAAGGGAAGAAACCGCACUGUGCUAAUCAGCAGUGCCUUGACGGUACCUUCAAAGGAAGCACCGGCUGACUCCGUGCCAGCAGCCGCGGUAAUACGGAGGGUGCAAGCGUUAAUCGGAAUUACUGGGCGUAAAGCGCACGUAGGCUGCUUUGUAAGUCAGGGGUGAAAUCCCACGGCUCAACCGUGGAACUGCCUUUGAUACUGCUUAGCUUGAAGCCGGGAGAGGGUGGCGGAAUUCCAGGUGUAGGGGUGAAAUCCGUAGAUAUCUGGAGGAACAUCAGUGGCGAAGGCGGGUCUCUGGGCUGUUACUGACGCUGAGAAGCGAAAGCGUGGGGAGCGAACAGG